GGGUGGCUAGUAUAAAUAUGUACAUAACUUUUACACAGUUAGGGUAGAGCUAAUUGUGGUGCUCUGCGCUCG
rnacentral:tRNA from 1 species